GAUGAACGCUAGCGGGAGGCCUAACACAUGCAAGCCGAGCGGUAUUGUUUCUUCGGAAAUGAGAGAGCGGCGUACGGGUGCGUAACACGUGUGCAACCUGCCUUUAUCUGGGGGAUAGCCUUUCGAAAGGAAGAUUAAUACUCCAUAAUAUAUUGAACGGCAUCGUUUAAUAUUGAAAGCUCCGGCGGAUAGAGAUGGGCACGCGCAAGAUUAGCUAGUUGGUGAGGUAACGGCUCACCAAGGCGAUGAUCUUUAGGGGGCCUGAAAGGGUGAUCCCCCACACUGGUACUGAGACACGGACCAGACUCCUACGGGAGGCAGCAGUGAGGAAUAUUGGUCAAUGGGUGCAAGCCUGAACCAGCCAUCCCGCGUGAAGGACGACUGCCCUAUGGGUUGUAAACUUCUUUUGUAUAGGGAUAAACCUACCCUCGUGAGGGUAGCUGAAGGUACUAUACGAAUAAGCACCGGCUAACUCCGUG
rnacentral:rRNA from 1 species